rnacentral:rRNA from 1 species
UACGAACUGUGCGAACGUUAUUCGGAAUCACUGGGCUUACAGGGUGCGUAGGCGGCUCAACAAGUCAGGUGUGAAAGCCUCCGGCUCAACCGGGGAACUGCGCUUGAAACUGUUAGGCUCGAGUCAGCUAGAGGUACACGGAACUUCCAGUGGAGCGGUGAAAUGUGUUGAUAUUGGAAGGAACACCGGAGGCGAAGGCGACUACCUGGCCUGUUCUUGACGCUGAGGCGCGAAAGCUAGGGGAGCAAACGGG